rnacentral:rRNA from 1 species
GAUGAACGCUGGCGGCGUGCCUAAUACAUGCAAGUCGAGCGAACAGACGAGGAGCUUGCUCCUUUGACGUUAGCGGCGGACGGGUGAGUAACACGUGGAUAACCUACCUAUAAGACUGGGAUAACUUCGGGAAACCGGAGCUAAUACCGGAUAACAUGUUGAACCGCAUGGUUCAACAGUGAAAGACGGUCUUGCUGUCACUUAUAGAUGGAUCCGCGCCGCAUUAGCUAGUUGGUAAGGUAACGGCUUACCAAGGCAACGAUGCGUAGCCGACCUGAGAGGGUGAUCGGCCACACUGGAACUGAGACACGGUCCAGACUCCUACGGGAGGCAGCAGUAGGGAAUCUUCCGCAAUGGGCGAAAGCCUGACGGAGCAACGCCGCGUGAGUGAAGAAGGUCUUCGGAUCGUAAAACUCUGUUAUUAGGGAAGAACAAAUGUGUAAGUAACUAUGCACGUCUUGACGGUACCUAAUCAGAAAGCCACGGCGAACUACGUG